UUUAACCCCCACCAUCCAACACUAUAUAAACAAUACUGUCCAUAAGAAUGUACACUUGAAGAAUCCCCAGAUAAAUAUAUAAUUCAACCAGGUCAAUAUACCCAAACAUUUAUUUGCAGUAAAACAGUGUUUAUUGAAGAUUUUUAAUUUAGCUUCAAUAACCUUCCACCAUCCCCCAGUUAGGUAAUUCAUUAUGAAUUGACUUGACCUGCAACAACCAAGCCCUCUGCUGCAGCAUUAUUAGCAGAGAAAUUUUACCAGUACUAUGGCAAAGAAAGGGAAGAUGUCACAUUAUUAUUGGUACUAAAGGUCAAAUUUAAUUACAUCCACCCUAAACAGCAACAACAACAACAAAAAAAAUCUCACACCCACAAAACUGAGUAAUCCUAAACUUUAUAUGGGAGGCACCACUCCCACCCCCCACUUCCAUCAAAAGCUCUGCCUGCAUAUAACCUCCUGCCUAAACAAAAACUCAAACGGCAGCAAUAAAGAGAGCGUUUUAGGAAACUCAAUUGCCAUUAAAAGGUUUUCAGGGAAACUCCACGCGACCGUGGACAACCAGGCAGCGAUAUGACCCCAAGAAGGAGAGAUCAGACCUCCCUCCCCCGUUUUCACUGCAGCUGGUCCUGAAGGUCUGAGCCACCUCCUACCAACGCUCUCCCUGCUCGAUCACUGCAGGAAAACAGGGUGGAUGGGAAACCCAUUCUUAAAAUAACAGCGCCUGCUCUCCCCCGUGCUAUCCAUUCUUGUUUUGUUUGCCGUGCUGCAGCUGAUUCCGGAGAUCUGGGCCACCUCCUGAAAAGCAGCUGCCUUGCCCUCAAAGAGGGCAGGGGAGACGGGAAGAACAGCAGAAGCCUCGACAGGAAAUCUGGAGAAAGGAUGUUCGGUGUCCUCGCAGAGGCCUACAGUCACUGGCUCAAGUUUUGUGAUGUGCUGUUUAUAACUGGACAGGCCUGGAAGUGGCUUAGUACCUUCCACUCCUAUUUUAAGUCAGCAGCAACAGUAAGCUGAGCGGCCUCGAAGACCGAGUUGCUUCUCCAAAAGGAUGCUCAACUUGCAGCUGAGGUUAUUAACAAGGUAACAGAGGAGAUUUAUAAUAUAUAGGUUAAAGUAUGUAGGAAACCUGGUCAGUAGCUACU
rnacentral:lncRNA from 1 species